GAUGAACGCUAGCUACAGGCUUAACACAUGCAAGUCGAGGGGCAGCAUUUCAGUUUGCUUGCAAACUGGAGAUGGCGACCGGCGCGACGGGUGAGUAACACGUAUCCAACCUGCCGAUAACUCGGGGAUAGCCUUUCGAAAGAAAGAUUAAUACCCGAUGGUAUAAUUAGACCGCAUGGUCUUGUUAUUAAAGAUUUCGGUUAUCGAUGGGGAUGCGUUCCAUUAGGCAGUUGGCGGGGUAACGGCCCACCAAGACUACGAUGGACUAGGGGGUUCUGAGAGGAAGGUCCCCCCAGAUU
rnacentral:rRNA from 1 species